rnacentral:lncRNA from 1 species
GUAAAAACAACAAUUCCACCUAUUUAGAUAUGCCUGAAAUGAAAAGUUGGCAAACCAGGAUGACACCAAGUACAAGUAAGUUGAUAAAUCCAAUAUAGUUUGUGUUUUUAAUAUUUUCUUACAGUGAAUAAUUAUUUCCACGUACUACUAUUAAAGGUAUGCCCGAGCCUUGUAAAGUCUAUCUUGGUAGUUUUAAAUAUUUUUAUAGAAAAAAAACAAAUAAGCAUUACGAGGACUACUUGAGGUAUGCCCGAGCGCCUUCAUGCACGAUGUAUUGGUUGUUCAUCUUGUUUGAUAAAAAAAUGGUUCAAUCUGAAUGUUUCUAUUAAUCGGAUCAAAGCCUAUCGCAUAUAUAUGGGUAUAAAGUAAUUUUCCUUGUCAUAAUAAAAUUUAUAAUGUAGGACAGCAAGUCACAGACAAAAAAUCACAGUCAUGUAUAAUAUGUUAUAAACAUUGACUUCUGUUUUAAAGUAAAAUCUAAAAAAAAAAUAUACUUACUUUGAGAAACAUCUUUCUGUGAUGGACUUUCAGUGAAAUUCAUAGUACAUGUUCUUCGUUUGGUGGUUUACAGUUUCUUUAGGUUUAAAGUUUCUUUAUAAACAAGGUAGAUGGUGAACAAAUAUAAUUUACAGAUACAAAUACCAAAUAUUCACAUUAUUUUUUUCAAAAUGGUCACAAAGCUAUACAUUUUUAUAAUGAAAAAUGUGCAAAAAAAUUAAAAUACAGUACUCAUAAAACUUCGGUGUUUUACAUUUCAUGAGCAAAAGAUUAUAUAAUAUAGUGAAAUAAGAACUUUCAAUCCAAUCAAAGUAUCAUAUUUUACAUGAAUUGUAUGAAAAUCGACCAAAAAAUGACAUAAAAGCCUCAUUUUGGUGAUUUAUUUCCCUUUUCAAUGUUAAUUUCCAUAAGGAAUAAAAAAUGCAAAUUUUGAGUUUUCUUGUAGUCAUAUUUUAUGGAAUUUUUUUCUGUGUAUAUUUGGGGCUUAAUGCUAUAUAUUAGAAUAAAAAAAAGUAUCUGUGAUAAUUAGUUUAAGGUACAAUAGUUUCACUAGACUUCUUUUAAAAUUACCCUAUGUAAAGAGUUAUCAUAUUGUCAACAUUUAUUGAGUCGCUGCCAAAAAUCCAUUAAGAUCAUUGUUAUUUUCUCAAAUUUCAACAAUCCAAUGCUUAUUACUAAUGUUAAUAGUGCUACCAUAGGCGGACCCUAGGGGGCCUGAGUGCCGACCCCUUCUUUUCCUUGGAAAAAUUAGGUUGAUUACAUACGGUAUCACUGAAGUAUGAAUGUAGCGGACCAUCUCUUAAGGCAGUCAGUUGGACCCCUUAUAUGAAAAUUGUCUAGAUGGUUUAUUUUCCUUCUGCUGCUGGUUGUAAUGCUGGUGCUGCUGGUUUCACAACCUCAACCAGCAGUCACAAGCUGACAGAAUUUCCACGGGUCCUCGUAGCAAAACGGAAUUUUACGGAAAAUUUUGAAAAUUCAUCCCAGUCAGAACGUCAAACAAGAAAUGUGUCAAAUGAAUAGCAGAGACCAUUGAGUCGACGACCGACCGUACCCACCCUUGCUGGUUACUCCCUUUGUGUGCCAACGGACCCUUGUGUUAAUUAUUUUAGGGGCUCCCUAGUUGACCUCUAGAAAUUUCUGUCCUUGUCCAAUUGAUUCAGAUUUCUAGUGAUUUUUUUUCAAAUUUUCUUCAUCUUAGACUAUCCCUAUCGCAUGACCUUUUUUAAAUUUUAUAUUUUUUAUAACUUCACAUAAAACGUUAUCUUCAUGAAGAUACUCAUCAUACAAUAGUACAAUAUUAUUCCAAACGUAUAGCUGUACAUGCUUUGCAAUUUCAGCAUUGAGUUUAAGAAUGAAUAAGAAAAAUAAACAGCUCAUAUUAAAUUCGUGUAUUUUUCCCUUAUAUGAAGGUUAGAUGGUCAAUUAUCAUUUAUUUAGAGAAUCAACGAUGGACUCUUCUGGUUGUGUGGAGUUGUAUGAAAUUGAACCUACAAUGUUCCUAUCAAAUUUAUUGAAUUUGUUCUUUUCCGAAAUAUGCAUGAGAUGUUUGACACUAGACAAUAUAUUAUUUCUUUUUUUUCCCCACAAAAUCUUACAACCAGCCUCCGUCCAAACUGUCAACAACAAGUAACACUUUGAUCUAUUAUCAUCAGUAUAGCAUUAUCAGUGUAUGUGCAAUUGGACGGCUUGUUUCCAUGGCAACACAUUCAAUGGCAAAUAUUGCACAAUUGAAUAUAUAUAAUUAUUCUAAUGAUUUUCUUUGUUUUUCUUGUAUAUUUUUCAUAAUCAUGAAAACAGACUGAAAUUUCUUCACUGUCAUUUGUUUUAUCCAUAUUAGAGAAAUUGUAUUUUUUCUUUUAAAUGAUAACACCAAUAUCGAUAUACUUUACUAGCAAAAUUAUCUUUAUAUAAUGUGUGGAUACCGGUAAAAUUAAGUGUUUUAGUUUUCCUACUUUUGUACUUUUUUGAACUUUUAAGAAAUUAACUGUAGUGAACAUUUUUCAAAAUUAUUUUAAACUUGUGUAUCAUCAUUAGAUUGUUUCCAUAGCAACACAGUUAAAACAAAAAAACGUUAUAUAUGAAUAUGUUUUAAAAAAAAUGAUGAUUUCAUUAACUUCUACAAAUUGUAUAUUUAUUCAUUUAUUCUGAGCGCAGAAUUAGGGUUUAAUACUUUUUUUCAAAUUUUAUCUUUAUUUUCUUUCUAAAAAAAAAAUAAAAAACUAAGCAUAUUUUGUAUCACUGAUUAGACAAGAUUAUAAUAUUUAUGAAUUCAUGCUUGACUUUUGUCCUCAAAAAGUUACGAUGGACAUUUAAAACCAUUACUAUAUCGCUGUGAAAUGUGAAACAAUUUUAGAAAAACAAGAAAUAAGCCUGCAUAAAAAUUCGUCAUUUGCUAUAAGGUAUUUGAAAAUACUUUUGUUGUUAGGUAAACAUGUACAAUUUAAAUGGCGAAAGGCGAUGUAUUAAUUAACAAAAUAAACAUUUUUGAUAUUCCUUUAAACGAAGUGAAAUUUAUUGUAAUAUAAAAUUAUCAAAGCUGAUAUAUAGACCAGAUAUAACCCUGAAUAAGUUAACAUUAAAUAACAAAAAGCAAUACAAAUAGUAUCAACAGGUCAAAUAAACAAGAAAUAAAUAAUUUACCUUUAUUUGCAAAACAGACAAAAACCAAUUUAGGUUAUGGCAAAUACAAAACAAACAUGAUCAAACAUAAUGAAAACUCGACAAUAUUAUAAGAGAUAUAUGAUAAAAACAGUUAUUGUUCUCCUUUCCUCAGUUCUAAUGACUCUUUAAUAAAGAAACAACUGCUUUUACAUCAUUUGGUGUGAUGGAUUUAGUAUAAUCACGAGUUUAUCAGUAAAAUUAAGUGUAUUAAAAUUCACAUAUUUUUGUAUAUAAUAUUUUAGAAAGAUUUCUCUUUUAUUUUCAUUUAUUUUACAGUUAAAGAAAAAAUGAAAUUCAUCGUCUAAGAUAUUAAUAUUUUACAUUUUCUUUCAUUUCGUGGUAUUUUGGUAUAUCGUCCAGUUUCUAUUAAGAGACAAUGAUCGCUUAUUCUAAACUUGGUUAACAUUUUUCUUGUUUCUUUACUUGGGUGUGAUAGGUAGUAUUUCAUUUGGUUAUUUAUAUUAGAUUUAAGAAAUUUAUAUAGAUAUAUUUUAUUAUUUUCGUUUAAGUUAUUAAUUUUAUCAUCAAUAAGAGUUUGAUAGUAGUUGAUAUAACUCUUUUUUAAUUGGGGUUUUAACAUUUUAGUCUGUUUUAAAGUUUUAGUUUCCUCAAUAAGUUUGAUGUUAAUAUUUAUAUCUUGUGAUACAUUUUUUGCAAAAGUAUACCAAGAGUAUGUUCCAGUAUCUAAAACUUUUAGUUAAUUUAAAGGCUUCAUUAAGAAGUGGGUUUAGAUUUUCAUUAUUUAAUCUAGAUAGGUACAUCAUAGUUUGGGUUUUUAUGAAAGUUUCUAAUGGCAGAAGUCCUAGUUCAUUUCUAACAGCUAGAUGUGUUGAACUUCUUUUUGUCCCCAGUACUUGUUUAAUAAAAUGUAGCUGGGUUUUUUCUAAAAUAGUUUUUAUCAAUAAAAUGAAUAGCAUCUGGUGUUGAGCUAUUUUUGUUAGCUCGGAGUUAGCUCUAUAAAAUUGAAUAUAAGUGUCCAUAUAACAUAUUUCACUAUUAUAUGUUAAAAUAGGUUUGACCAAAGUUUCAAAAAGGUUGCAAGACACUCUCACAGGAAGUUGUCCAAAGCCUGAUGAGUAAGAGUUAAUAGCAAAUAAAACUUUUCUUGCCUUUUUUGCAAGAUCUGAACUACAACUAGUUAGACUGCCAUUAGAUGUAUACACACAUCCAAGGAUUUAUAUUCAUUUACUUUCAAGGUAUUUUUCUUUAAAUUUCAAAGGGUUAUUUAUUUUACUUGGGUUAUUUUGUAGUAUCGAUGGUUUUAGAUUUUUUUGUAUUUAACUGUUAAUUGCCAUUGAUCAAAUACUCAGAGAGAUUAUUUAAGCUAUUUUGCAGACCGUUUUCGCUCUCUGAUAAUAUGAUUAAAUCAUCUGCAAAAAGGAGACUUCCUAUGUAAAGUACUAUUUGAGAGUACUCACCGUUUCUGACAGCACGUUAAAAGCCAAAAACAACUAGUAAUACAUAAUCAGUCAUCAAAGAUUAAAAUCAGCUGAUAAGUACACAUUCUAGAGAUUUAGUAUUUAACGUCAUGGACAGUCAAAUACGACAUGACCUGUGCAAUGCCAAAAAUAAAUGUAAUAUAUAAAACAGGCAUUAUGAUAGUUAGGAAUUGACCUCUUUAUAGAUUGAAAUGAACGUGGGUGUGUCGAGCAGCAAGCUAUAACGGGCUCCAAAAAAGUUACUAGUGUAAAACCAUUCAAACGGGAAAACCAACGGUCUAAUCUAUAUAUACAAAAAUUGAGACACAAGAAACAUUUACAAAUUACACGAACAUGCAAACGACAAACACGAUAAGAUCGAAACAACCUUAUAUUCCUUUAAGGUAUUAUUUUUUUAAUCUUACUUCUACUUCCUUUGUUUUCUUUCCAUUCUUCGUCAUUUUUAUUUUAUUUAUUUCUUGAAUUGAUUUUUUUUUUUAAAUUAUAGUACAACUUCGUUUGUCUGUUAAAUCUAUUUAAAACUAUUUGAUUCUGUGCGAUUCGUGCUAUGAUUCAAAUCAAUUUUAAAUGAAAAGGUACUUAAUCCUUAUAUUUGCUAUACAUGUUCUUCUGUUUCUUUUAUAUAAACAAGUGAACGUGUGUUGCCUUACCAAAUUUCUAGAAUGAUUUAUGUAUAUGAAUCUAUUGCUUUCCGAAGUUCUACCGAGGUUAUAAACAAAAAGUAAAAAAAAUAAAUCAUAUUGAACUCCGAGAAAAAAUCAAAACGUGAAGUAUCUAAUAAAAUGGCAAAAUCAAAUAAAAAAAACACAUCAAACGAAUGAACAACAACUGUCAUAUUCCUGAUUUGGUACAGGCAUUCUUAAAUGUAGAAAAUGGUGAUUUGAACCUGGUUUUAUAAUAGCACUAUACCUCUCACUUGUAUGACAGUCGCAUCAAAUUCCAUUAUAUCUAUAACGAUUCUUGAAACAGACAUAAUAGCUAAAACUGUCAAAAUAGGGAUACAGCCGUCAUCACCGUGUUACAAUGUCAAUCAGAAAAAACUCCGAAUAUAUAACAAAGAAGCACAAAAAAGGAAAUAAAAAAUAUGACAACCACAUUCAUUCCUACUUAUAUAUGUAUUUAAGGUAGAUUUAUGGUAUACCGCCAUCUUGGAUUGUACAAUUACAGUACAACAUCGGUCUAGUUAUUUGCCUAAAUCUGCAAAUUUGGAGACAGAUUUAUUUAAAGAAAACUUGUUAAUGAAUUGAAUUAUACAAAAUAUUUUAACAAAUAUCAUUUUCUUUGGUUUUAAAAUCAUUUUUUUCAAAUGAGCCAUUUAAGGGGAGAUAACUCUUUUAGUACAAAAUUUAUACUGGGCUAAUUGGGAUUUUUUUUAUAUUUACUUGUAGCAAGAAAAAAAGUUCGGUGACACCAUGUUUUCUUUUUUUUUUUUUCUUAAAACAUAUUACGAAACCUCUCUUCUCACAAUUUAUUUCAAAAUUCUAUCUCAUAGAACUUUUUUUAUGCACACUAAUGUGUAUUUUCAUGAACAAAUUAACCAAAUUUUGGCAAUUUUCGACGACUCAUAGCUUGAAAAAUAGCACGGUGACCCAUACUUUUUAUUAAAUUUUUGAAAAGAGCAUAGUAAAAUCUUCAUUUUGGCAAAUUAUAAAAAAAUUCUGUCUCAAAAAAUAUAUACUGGUGAUCUACCUUAAAAUCAACCCAAAUGAUAGCCUGGCGAGGUUCACAUUAACUCAAGUUGAGAUUCGCGUGUUUGAUAAAAUGUUACGUAACACAGGAAGAGAUAUAAAAUAAUUUUGUCGUUCAAAGUAUUUUCAAUAUUAUUACGUGGAACAAUAACAUAACUACAUUAUGAUAGAACAAUAACAUAUAUGGUGGGAUGUUAAAAGUACAAAACUACAAUGUACGUCAGAUGAACCAAGGAAACACAACAGGAGCACGUACAAAGCACACUUAGUCUAGCAAAAAUGAAAAAAAAAUAUAACAAACAACACAUUGAUAUAGAUAAUUUUGUAGUUCGAUGUAUUUUCAAAAUCAUAAUGCAACAGUAGGAUAAUGACAUUUUAAUAGAACAAAAAACAAUGGCGAGAUGUAUAAAAGUACAGAGUCAAUAAAGGGGCCAAUAAAGUUGCAUAAUUGUUUUUCUAAUUUGGGUAAUUCACGUCUAGUCCUGAGAUAAGCGUCAGUAACGAUGUCUUAUCAAAUCUAUAAAAGUUAGAAGUCAAUUAUCGUUCAGCAGUUCCUGUUCUUAAUCAAUAAGGUAAGGACGACUUUGAACUGGAAUCUUGUCGUUGUUUGGCAAGCUUAAUAUUUGUAUUUUGAAGGUAUAUUAAACAUAUUUGUGUAAGAGAACCGAUAUACGCCGACUUGUUAUCGAAUGCAAAUAACCCAGUUCUGUAUUGCUUAAAUUUAUUCAUUUCGACGUUUGAACAGUGGGCGAACAUGUGAGAUAAAUUAUUGCCAUUUCAUCAAUUUAUGCAUGCUAAACCUCUUCUAAAUUUUUUCAAAUCCGAAUUUUAAUUUUUGCGAAACAGCUCUGUCGUAAUUUAGCCGUAAUAAAAUAACCACAAAACAUACUAAAAUAACAAAAAAAAUCCCUCUUUUCUAGGUUACUUAAAAUCCUAAACUUUGUAACUCUACCAUGAAUGAACAAAAAUAAUUACGGAGAAAUAUCUCAAUAACCAAUAUAGUAAAUAUACAAAGUAACUAAGUAACCCAAAGUAGUCUGGUUAUUUUGCUUUCUUGAUGAUCAAAUUUUAUAUAUACGGGAUAACAGACAGAGUAGUCUCGGGUCGCCUCAUAUAGCCUUUGCCCAAUUGAUAGAGAUUUGAAAAUUAAGUUAACAAUUAUGUACAGUAAUAGCUCAGUUUUUGGGAAGAACUGUACUUAUUAUGUUAAAAAAUAUAUAAAACGCUUUUUUUCCAAUUCAGGUAUCAGAAUGAAGUGUCUGUUUAUGUUAGCCGUUUUGUUGCCUUUUGUUCUUGGAGCUCACCAUGCUCAUCACGAACGAUUUUUGAGUAUGUAUAAUUCAUUUAAGACGAAAAACUUUACUAUAGACAUGAUAGAGUAACAACUAAAACCAUAGCUCAUAUGCAUAAAACCGUUUAAAUGUAGAUAUCCAAUUGAAGUACUAAUCUAUGUUAGGACACGUAGACAAUUCUGUUCGUUCAGAGAACAAAAAAAAAAUAUUAUUACUCAUGUAGUUUUAAGCCUGUGAACCCUUUUCUUUAACAACCGAUAAUGGAAUUCAGAAUUAGAUUUAUGAUUGCAUUGUCGUAUUUUGGAAAGUCUAGCAAAAUACGUAAAACUGCAAUAAAUGAUGUGUUGCACUGAAUGUUAAUAUUUCGAGAAAAUUUGAAUUUUUAGCGUCAAUAACAUAGUCCGAUUAGUUUAUGGCAGUUUUGUCAUUAGCAUAAAAGCGCUAGUUGUUAAAUUUAUUAUUGAUCAAUUUGUCAGUAGUCAAAAUUCUGGUAUGAAUAAAGGCAACGGCAGUUACAAACUAAAACUGAGAGAAACACGUGAAAUAUAAGACGAGAACAACGACUCAACAGAAACACUAAAAUGCAACACAUACAGAAACGAACUAUAAUACAAUUAUAACAUUACAAUGGCCAUUUUCCUAACUUGGUACAGAUCAUUUUAUGAAAUAAUGGUGGGCUGAACCUGGUUUUGUUGCUUACAAAACCUCCCGCUUUUCGUGCAAUGUUAAAUAUAUCAUUAAAAUGACAACAAUACAUGACAUGACUACAAUACAAAUAAAUGGGAGAACAUAUAUGAGUUAGUCAACGUCUUUGCGUACUUAUUUGUCCUUAAAAUUUCGAAAGAAGACAUGCAUAUGACUGAAGGAGAUGUCGGUUAGACGUCAAUGAGACAACAACACAACGAUGAAGAUAAAAAAGGACAUUUGGAGGGCAAUAUGCAUGUUUCAAAAUAUAUAGAAAGGUGUAUAUACGAUAUUUCAUCAAAGUCCUUGUACGUAUUUGAUAAAUAGGAUCAUGUGGAAAAGAUAAGAAAGUCCAAGAAAUGGACUGAACAUACGACAGCUUAAGUGCCAGUCUGCCUAAGAAUCAGGUAGUGGUUAAAACAUGACCGAAAAAAACCACCCAAUUUGACAUUGAUUUCAGUUCAUAAUAUGUAGUUAUGCACACAAAAAACAUUCAUUUUCAUUUUCUGUCCUGGUAAUACAAGAUACAAUUUGGUUGAAAUGCACUAGAAAUUAACGAAUAAGGGGAGAUAACUCUGUAAUUUGCUAUCAUUCUAACCAAUUUUCUAACCAAGUUAUUUGAUAUAACCAGACACACACAAGCGAAAGACUAAUACUUUCUAACUCAGGAUCAUGGUUAGUUUUUUUAAGAUACCAUGAUUAGCACGGUGUUUUUUUUUCUAAUCAUGUUUUAAUUUUUACCUAAAUUGCUCGAUUCUUAAAAAGAUCUACAAAGACUGGCACUUAAUUAUGCAAUCGUUACAAAUAGAGUUUUUGUUUUAACUAAUUGUUUUUUUGCAACUGCACUUGUGAAGGGGUCAUGGUGGGACUAGGCAAAAAAACUGCACAAUAAAAGGCCUAAAUAAAUUAAAGAAAAAAAAUGGAAGAAAAUAAAAGAGAAAAAAGUAUAAUAUAGAACAACGUAUAUGAUGGAAGACUGAAAUGUAAAAUAAGGCCAAAUGAGGAUAAUAGAAAGAAAAAUAGAGAAAAAUAUCAUGAAAACUAUAGAGAACAGAGACGAAACAUGCCAGAUCCAGACCCAUAUUUAUCAUGUAUAUCUUAUUGCAGCUGAUAACAAUCAACUAAACCAACCAGAUUUAGACAAAGUCAUACAGAUAGUUCGAGGGUUCGCUAAAUCUGAUAUGGGACAACUAGCUUGUGUAAUAUCUUGUCAAGCAGCGGUUUCGUCAACAGGAUAUGGGGUUGUAUUGGCUCUUCUGUGUCCUACC